ACAGCAUGUUUUGUCCAAAAGUGUGGAAAAAUAAGAAUUCAUCCAGCAGUGCUACCCAGAUUGUGCAAGAACUUGUAGGCAAGAUUUGAAUUUACUUAACAACCUACUCACACACUAUAGGUAAUGUUGAAAUGAGAUGCUUUUGAUGGGUUGUUUUAUAGUAGGUGUUAUAAGCAGUAGUUGUGCACCUCAGUUGUGCAAAAGAAUUUUUUUUUCCUCGGGUCUGAAUACGCCAUCCUGGCACUUGUUUAUAUCCAGCUUUAUGGAGAAAUGCUCACCCCUGGGAUGAGUGCUUAUCUCUGUAAAGCGUUUGCCUGUAAACAUACUUCAGAGUAUGAAAAACACAUUUUUCAGACCUGUUAUCUCCUGAAUAUAGCUCUGUAGAGAAUAGACUUUUAUAUGGUAACGGAAAGAAAACAUUUGGCUUUUACCAGUAAUUACAGAAUUCCAUGAAUACUUGGUGGCUGCCCCCUAGCUAGACUGGCAUGCAGUUAACACCCGAUGGCUGACACACUGCAGAACGAUUUCCGCCAAAAUAAAGUUUGUGUUUUCCAAAAAUGGUGAGUCUGGAAUUGUGCUUGGAUCAAUAACUUCGUGUGGCAGACAAUAAGAUCCAGCAUAAAGAAAUAAAAAGUAAGGAAAUUCUACUUCUGUGGAAGUUUUAUUUAAUAUCUUGAAGGACGAUAGAAUUAGGUUAUGUAUUUGUUGGUUUCUGGAAUGUACACCUUAAUCUGUGGUUUUGAAAGUAAUACAAAGGUCAGUUACUAAAACCUUGUUUACAUGAUUUGUACCUAGAAGUCGGAAAUCAGGCAAGUUGGACAAAGCUAGGAAGUUGGAAAUACAAAUUCUGAUCUGAAAAGAAAACACCAGAGCCAAGCAGCAGCUUCCUCUUCUUGAAAUACGGUUGUUGAUGAAAGGAUCACAGAAACUUUCCAUUGGGGAUAAUGAAGAUGAUGAAGAAAAAGGUCAUGGAAGCAGCAACAUCAAGGCUACUAACAAUCCAAAUAGCAGUGAUGAAGUAGGUGAAGAAAGUUAUGAUUCUGAGGAAAAUUUCUCAGGAAAUUCUAUGGUUUUUCAGCCAAUGAUUUUGAUCCUCCAACAGAUACAUUACAGUACAUACAAACAGAU
rnacentral:lncRNA from 1 species